rnacentral:lncRNA from 1 species
GAAAUAAAAUAAAAUAAAACCAAAUUUGAAUAACAAAAGAAUAAUGAUCACUUCCUCCAGCUCGAUGCCCAUGUGACCUAUCUUCCUCUUCUCGUCUUUUUUUCGUCGUCUUUCUUUUCUUUUUUUUUGGGUUUUUAUUUGAUAAACAUCUCUUCUUCUUCUUCUUCUUCUUCUUCUUUUAUUUUGUUUAUUAAUUCUCUUUUGUUCUUAACCUUCCGCAAAUUCAAAACUACAACAUUAUUUCCUUGACUAGAAGUUACUAUAGAUUUAGAAGGUGGAUAUUGGGACGGAACGUAGGGUGCAGUAAUGCUAAAAAACGUAGAGUGAAGUAACUAUAGUUGCCAACAAAUGGUAUUUUAUAUGUAUAAACCAUAUAAAA